rnacentral:ncRNA from 1 species
AAGACUUUUGAGUUUGAAAUAAUUCUGAAACUUAAUGUUAACAAUCAAUUGGAACUUUUUAUUAAAGUGACAGUGUACCUUUUGCAUAAUGGGCCAGCAAGUUUAUUUUUAUAGCAAGCUUAAUUUUUUAAAGUAGGCGCAGAUAAAUCAAGUUUUAAAAAGCAAUAUAGUUAUAAAAAUAAGACCCGAAACCGAGUGAUCUAACCAUGAACAGAUUGAAAAAUAGGUAAAACUAUUUGGAGGAUCGAACUCACAUGUGUGGCAAAACAUGGAGAUGAUUUGUGGUUAGGAGUGAAAGGCUAAUCAAACUCGGAGAUAGCUGGUUUUCCGCGAAAUCUAUUGAAGUAGAGCAUUUAAAAUCUUUUUUUGGGGUAGAGCACUCAUUGAGCUAGGGGGCGUAAAAACUUACUGAACUCUUAGAAACUCCGAAUACAAAAAAAAGUUAUUUAAAUAGACAGACAUUAGGCGCUAAGGUCUAUUGUCAAGAGGGAAACAGCCCAGAUUGAUCGCUAAGAGCUCUAAAUAAUAUUCUAAGUGAAAAAGGAAGUGAAAAAAUAAUUACAACCAGUAGGUAGGCUUGGAAGCAGCCAUCCUUUAAAGAAAGCGUAAUAGCUCAUUGGUCUAGUUUUUUUGCGCCUAAAAUGUAUCGAGACUUAAGAAAUUUACCGAAGCGGCAAGUUUUAUUUAUAAUAAAACGGUAGCGGAACAUUCUGUAUGUUGAUAAAGAUAUGUUGUAAAAUAUAUUGAAGAUAUCAGAAAAGAAAAUGCUGGCAUUAGUAACAAAAAAUAAUGAAUAAGAAUCAUUAUCACCGUAAAUCCAAGGGUUUCUAUGUUAAAAUGUAUUUCAUAGAGUGAAACGGCCCCUAAGAAAGAUUUGACGAAAGCAAAUUUUGAUGGGAUAAUUUUUAAAUUAAAUUUUUUAAAAAAAGUGACAAAAAGUUUUACUUUUUCAGGAAAUAGCUUUUUUUAAAAAAAACCGUACCCUAAACCGACACAGGUGGAUAGGUCGAGUAGACUAAGGUGGAUGAGAGAAUUAUAUUGAAGGAACUCGGCAAAAUGACUCUGUAACUUCGGGAUAAAGAGUACCUAAAUAUUAUAUUUAGGUGUCACAAAAUAGGGGGUUGCGACUGUUUAAUAAAAACUUAGGACUCUGCUAAAUGGUAACAUGAUGUAUAGGGUCUGACACCUGCCCGGUGCUGGAAGAUUAAUAGGAGAUGUUUGCGCAUUGAAUGGAAGUCCCAGUAAACGGCGGCCGUAACUCUGACGGUCCUAAGGUAGCGAAAUUCCUUGUCGGGUAAGUUCCGACCUGCAUGAAUGGUGUAACGACAUCCCCGCUGUCUCCAUAUAAACUCAGUGAUUUGAAUAUCCGUGAAGAUGCGGAUUCUCUAUAGUA